rnacentral:rRNA from 1 species
GUGAACGCUGGCGGUAGGCCUAACCCAUGCAAGUCGAACGGCAGCACAGGAGAGCUUGCUCUCUGGGUGGCGAGUGGCGGACGGGUGAGGAAUACAUCGGAAUCUGCCCAGUCGUGGGGGAUAACGUAGGGAAACUUACGCUAAUACCGCAUACGACCUUCGGGUGAAAGAGGGGGAUCGCAAGACCUCUCGCGAUUGGAUGAGCCGAUGUCGGAUUAGCUAGUUGGCGGGGUAAUGGCCCACCAAGGCGACGAUCCGUAGCUGGUCUGAGAGGAUGAUCAGCCACACUGGAACUGAGACACGGUCCAGACUCCUACGGGAGGCAGCAGUGGGGAAUAUUGGACAAUGGGCGCAAGCCUGAUCCAGCCAUACCGCGUGGGUGAAGAAGGCCUUCGGGUUGUAAAGCCCUUUUGUUGGGAAAGAAAUCUUACAGGCUAAUACCCUGGGAGGAUGACGGUACCCAAAGAAUAAGCACCGGCUAACUUCGUG